rnacentral:rRNA from 1 species
UACGUAGGGGGCUAGCGUUGUCCGGAAUCAUUGGGCGUAAAGCGCGCGUAGGCGGCCAGAUAAGUCCGGUGUGAAAGUCAAAGGCUCAACCUUUGAAUGCCGCUGGAAACUGUCUGGCUUGAGUCCGGAAGGGGCGAGUGGAAUUCCUGGUGUAGCGGUGAAAUGCGCAGAUAUCAGGAAGAACACCCGUGGCUAAGGCGGCUCUCUAGUACGGUACUGACGCUGAGACGCGAAAGCGUGGGGAGCGAACAGG